rnacentral:rRNA from 1 species
AGAGUUUGAUCCUGGCUCAGGAUGAACGCUGGCGGCGUGCUUAACACAUGCAAGUCAAACGAAGCACCUUGAUUUGAUUCUUCGGAUGAAGAUCUUGGUGACUGAGUGGCGGACGGGUGAGUAACGCGUGGGUAACCUGCCUCAUACAGGGGGAUAACAGUUAGAAAAUGACUGCUAAUACCGCAUAAGACCACAGCACCGCAUGGUGCAGGGGUAAAAACUCCGGUGGUAUGAGAUGGGACCCGCGUCUGAUUAGGUAGUUGGUGGGGUAACGGCCUACCAAGCCGACGAUCAGUAGCCGACCUGAGAGGGUGACCGGCCACAUUGGGACUGAGACACGGCCCAAACUCCUACGGGAGGCAGCAGUGGGGAAUAUUGCACAAUGGGGGAAACCCUGAUGCAGCGACGCCGCGUGAGCGAUGAAGUAUUUCGGUAUGUAAAGCUCUAUCAGCAGGGAAGAAAAUGACGGUACCUGACUAAGAAGCACCGGCUAAAUGCGUGCCAGCAGCCGCGGUAAUACGUAUGGUGCAAGCGUUAUCCGGAUUUACUGGGUGUAAAGGGAGCGUAGACGGAGUGGCAAGUCUGAUGUGAAAACCCGGGGCUCAACCCCGGGACUGCAUUGGAAACUGUCAUACUUGAGUGCCGGAGGGGUAAGCGGAAUUCCUAGUGUAGCGGUGAAAUGCGUAGAUAUUAGGAGGAACACCAGUGGCGAAGGCGGCUUACUGGACGGUAACUGACGUUGAGGCUCGAAAGCGUGGGGAGCAAACAAGAUUAGAUACCAUGGUAGUCCACGCCGUAAACG